rnacentral:rRNA from 1 species
CCCCCAGACUCCUACGGGAGGCAGCAGUGGGGGAUAUUGCACAAUGGGGGGAACCCUGAUGCAGCGACGCCGCGUGGGUGAAGGAGUAUUUCGGUAUGUAAAGCCCUAUCGGCAGGGAAGAAGCAAGACGGUACCUGACUAAGAAGCCCCGGCUAACUACGUGCCAGCAGCCGCGGUAAUACGUAGGGGGCGAGCGUUAUCCGGAUUCACUGGGUGUAAAGGGAGCGUAGACGGCCAAGCAAGCCAGGGGUGAAAGCCCGGGGCCCAACCCCGGGACUGCUUUGGAAACUGUUCAACUGGAGUGCAGGAGAGGUAAGUGGAAUUCCUAGUGUAGCGGUGAAAUGCGUAGAUAUUAGGAGGAACACCAGUGGCGAAGGCGGCUUACUGGACUGUAACUGACGUUGAGGCCCGAAAGCGUGGGGAGCAAACAGGAUUAGAUACCCGAGUAG